GGUCAGAUGAUAAGACCUAAAAUAGUCAGCCGUUGGUGGAUGGUUACACACCUACAAAUAACCUA
rfam:Clostridium asparagiforme DSM 15981 genomic scaffold Scfld0, whole genome shotgun sequence.